GACGAACGCUGGCGGCGUGCUUAACACAUGCAAGUCGAACGGAGUGGCGAACGGGGGAGUAAAACGUGGGUGACCAGCCCUGCACUCCGGGAAAAGCAUGGGAAAAAGGGUCUAAUACCGGAUAGUGUGGGGUGGGCCCGGGGCCUAUCAGCUUGUUGGCGGGGUAAUGGCCUACCAAGGCGGGGAGGGGUAGCCCGCCUGAGCGGGUGGACGGCCACAUUGGGACUGAGACACGUCCCAGACUCCUACGGUAGGCAGCGGUGGGGAAUAUUGCACAAUGGGCGGAAGCCUGAUGCAGCGACGCCGCGUGGGUGAUGCCGGCCUUCGAGUUGUAAACUCCUUUCUCCAUCGACGCGGUAGAUGGAGAAGAAGCACCGGCUAACUACGUGCCAGCAGCCGCGGUAAUUC
rnacentral:rRNA from 1 species